ACACAGCAAGGCCGCUGACAGCGCAGCGCCCCACCCGGGCGAAGGCGCGGGGCUCAACGGAGAGGGGACGGGGCGUGGUGAGACUGUAAUGGGCAAUGAACAUGAACUAUUCAGGGGAAGAUUGUUAAAUGAAAGAAUCUCACUGGGCGGGGAGCUAAGCAUGACACCUGGCCACCUGCCUGUGCCUGUCCUGCCGAGAAGAGAGAAGAGGCCUUGAAAGCAGCCAGAGGGGGUGCACACCAGCCUGGGCAGGGGGCAGUAAGCGGGAGCAGCCCCGACCCGAGACCAGCAGCCCCUCUCUUCACCUCCAAGCCGGAGCGUGGCCUCAUCCCUCCCAGGUGACUCUCUUCCCAGAAAUGGUGCUGUCUCAAGAAGCCCCCUCUCUCCAAGCAUCUGCCAGGCCGUUUGAGCUGCCAGGAGUCUUUGUCCUGCCCCACCAGCUCUGUCUCAUCUAGAUGGGGCCUUCUGUCCAGUGCUACUGAACAGAAUGUUCUGCAUGCCUGGCCAGUGCAGAGACCU
rnacentral:lncRNA from 1 species